AAAUCCAGACACUUCCGCCACCCAGCGUGCCACCCAUUCUGAGACCUGGCAAAGAACAACAAGCGGGGUGAAAAAUCGACCACUGACAGCUAUUGCAGAGGACAGCUACUGCAUGGGAGAGAAAGAAAUCAGGGAAAGCUGACCGAGUUCGUGUGCAGGCAUCUGUAACUGGAGCAUCUCACUGGGUUGCUCUUUCUCUACAGAGAGUUGUGCAUGUCCAUUAGAAAGCUGCUGAGUGGAAACCUUAUUCCCCAGGACUUCAAAC
rnacentral:lncRNA from 1 species